rnacentral:lncRNA from 1 species
CUCUGCAAACCUUGACAGUUUUGAGGAAUUCAAGUUUGAUAUUUUGUAUGAUUCCUAUUAUUAGAAUUUGUUUUUUCCCCCUAAGACUGGAGUUAUGUAUUAUUAGGAGGAUAACUAUGGAGAUAAAGUGGUAUUUUCAUCCCAUCAUGGCUUAUUUCAUUUUGCAUAAUUUCUUCACGAUUCAUCCAUGUUGUAGUGUGUAACAGGAAUUCCUUAAGACUGAUACUACAUUGUAUGUAUUUACCACAUUUUGUUUUUCCUUUCAGUCAGUGGACACUUGGGUUGCUUCCACACUUUCAUUAAUGUAAAUAACGCUGCUAAGAAUAUGGUUGCGCAGACACAUCUUCAAGAUCAUACCUUUAAUUCUUUUGGAUAUAUACCCAGAAGUGGAGCUACUUGAUCAUAUGGAAUUUAAAAAUAAGGAAGACUGGGCAGAGGAUUUAGCUCAGUGGUUUCGCUGCCUGCUGUGCAAGCCCAAGGACCCAAGUUUGAUCCCUGGUACCACAAAAAAAAAAAAAAAAAGGAAGACAGACAAAGAUUUCAUCAAGUCAAAACCUCUGAGGAGGGAAGCUAUUUUAACCUCAUGAACAGAGAAAAGGGCCCAAUCAUAAACCAUCCAACAGAAAGUCUUAUGAAGGAAGUUUUGCUCUGCUGAGUUGGAGAAAACAGACACAUAGAAGAAUUUACUCCAGAUUCCUCAGCUAGAGACAGUGGAAGCAGGAUUCGAAAUCAAAUGGGACUCUGACCCCUAAAGCUCCCAAAUCUCUCAAAUGGAGAUAGGAAUGUUUGCUUAAACAUUUGUUAGGCAAUCCUGAUGCUUCUUUCCCCACCUUACACCAUCAUACUGAAGAGCUACACAGCAAGAUGGUGCCUGGAAGAAACUAAGAAAACAGGUGAGAAACAUGUGGGUUAAAAGCAUAGUAGCUUAGUUUAGUUAUUAUAAGUAGGCCGUUAAAGGAGCAUGAGAUAAGGUUGGAUGGAAGAAGUAAGCAAGCAGCUAGUUAAGCAAGCAGAGACCUAAGCCAACA